rnacentral:rRNA from 1 species
GAUGAACGCUAGAGGCAGGCCUAAUACAUGCAAGUCGAACGGUGUCUUCGGACAUAGUGGCGCACGGGUGCGUAACACGUAUGCAACCUACCUUACAUUGGGGGAUAGCCUUUCGAAAGGGAGAUUAAUACCGCAUAAGACAGUAGCUGGGCAUCCAGCAGCUGUUAAAGAUUUAUCGAUGUAAGCUGGGCAUGCGUCCAAUUAGCUAGUUGGUGAGGUAACGGCUCACCAAGGCAAUGAUUGGUAGGGGAACUGAGAGGUCAAUCCCCCACACUGGCACUGAGUUACGGGCCAGACUCCUACGGGAGGCAGCAGUAGGGAAUAUUGGGCAAUGGACGCAAGUCUGACCCAGCCAUGCCGCGUGCAGGAUGAAGGCGUUAUGCGUUGUAAACUGCUUUUAUACAGGAAGAAACGACUCUUGCGAGAGGCAUUGACGGUACUGUAUGAAUAAGCACCGGCUAACUCCGUGCGAGCCGCCGCAGUAAAAC